rnacentral:rRNA from 1 species
CGCGCGCUACCAUGCAGUCGAGCGAACCUUCGGGUUAGCGGCGGACGGGUGAGUAACGCGUGGGAACGUACCCUCUUCUGCGGGAUAGCCACUGGAAACGGUGAGUAAUACCGCAUACGCCCUUCGGGGGAAAGAUUUAUCGGAGGAGGAUCGGCCCGCGUUGGAUUAGGUAGUUGGUGGGGUAAUGGCCUACCAAGCCUACGAUCCAUAGCUGGUUUUAGAGGAUGAUCAGCCACACUGGGACUGAGACACGGCCCAGACUCCUACGGGAGGCAGCAGUGGGGAAUCUUAGACAAUGGGCGCAAGCCUGAUCUAGCCAUGCCGCGUGAGUGACGAAGGCCUUAGGGUCGUAAAGCUCUUUCGCCAGAGAUGAUAAUGACAGUAUCUGGUAAAGAAACCCCGGCUAACUCCGUGCCAGCAGCCGCGGUAAUACGGAGGGGGUUAGCGUUGUUCGGAAUUACUGGGCGUAAAGCGCACGUAGGCGGAUUGGAAAGUUGGGGGUGAAAUCCCAGGGCUCAACCCUGGAACUGCCUCCAAAACUCCCAGUCUGGAGUUCGAGAGAGGUGAGUGGAAUUCCGAGUGUAGAGGUGAAAUUCGUAGAUAUUCGGAGGAACACCAGUGGCGAAGGCGGCUCACUGGCUCGAUACUGACGCUGAGGUG